rfam:Dipodomys ordii contig_37458, whole genome shotgun sequence.
GGUGGCUUAGUGGUAGAGUGCUUGCCUAGCAUGCAUGAAGCCCUGGGUUCAAUUCCUCAGUACCA